rnacentral:pre_miRNA from 1 species
CAAUUGUGCUAAAGGUGAUUGUUUGUAGAUUCGCAAUUACAAUCCCCCUUACACAAUUUCU